UUUAUAAGUUUAUCUCUCAAUCACUAUGUUGCGCAGGUGUAUUAUUCAUAGUGCCAAAACUUUGAGGUUAUAGCCGAUCUAGAAAAUCAACCAAACUCACACUACGUUGUGAUCAUAGUUUUCACGAUAAUACAUAGAUGUCACUCUGAUAUGCUAUAAAAGCAUAUGUUAUGUGCUGCUUCCGUUAUAAACACAUUCUUUUUUUUGUUGUGGAAAGUGAUAAGCAUGUGUUUGUGUCGCACACUAGUGAAAAGUAAUAAUGAUUCUAUUUUGAUUAAUAAGUACUGUCAUUGAUUUUGGAAAUAGUAGAAUGUGAUAGAAUGAGAUGAAUAGAACAAGAUUGAACUGCAUUGAUUAAUCCAAUCCAUUUUUUAUUCAUUUAUACUGUACAUAUCUUCUAUAUUGUGUCUGCAAAAAUCAUUAAUUAGGAAGUUAUAUAAAUAGAUUAUUAUAUAAAUAAAUUGUUUAUAUAGAUAGAUUUAUUAAAAUUAGGUAAGUGUAGAGUUACAAGAUGAUCGUAAUUUUUCCUUGAGACUGACCUUUGUAAUUGUUAACCGAAGACAUUCUUUUUCUACUUAGUUUCACUCAUCACUCGUUCGAGAUUUUUGCAAGAUGUUCCAGAAUGUUAAAAUUAUAUGGUUACUCAGUGACAUGUGUCGUUAAAGUCACUUUUAAAGUGCUAAUUAUCAGAAAUGCUGUGCUUUGUAUAUAACACGAUACUGUUAUAUUUGAUAGCUUUUCAUAGUCCAUUCAAUAAUAAUAAUUGAUUAAUUUUGUGGCAUGACGUUUAUAUACAUAUAUACACACACACACAAUAUAUAUAUAUAUAUAAUAUCUCGGAUUGUUUAUGGGAGGUGAUAAACGAAAAUAUGUUUCUUUGUGAACAAAGUGAUAAAUCUUUAUUUGUUAGUUAAUGCUUAGUUUCUAAUUAAUCUUACCUAUGAACAAAGAAACGACAAUUUACAUUUAUUAUUCACAAUGUUAAAUUUUAUUUAAUAUAUAUUAUAAAUUUUCUUAUAGCUCUCGUGUUACUUUUCUCUUCUACGUUAUAUUUCAUACUGUCCGUUUCUCUUCCAAAUCUUAACAGCUCGGUUUGUAGGUCACA